GACGAACGCUGGCGGCGUGCUUAACACAUGCAAGUCGAACGGAAAGGCCCUGCUUUUGUGGGGUGCUCGAGUGGCGAACGGGGGAGUAACACGUGAGUAACCUGCCCUUGACUUUGGGAUAACUUCAGGAAACUGGGGCUAAUACCGGAUAGGAGCUCCUGCUGCAUGGUGGGGGUUGGAAAGUUUCGGCGGUUGGGGAUGGACUCGCGGCUUAUCAGCUUGUUGGUGGGGUAGUGGCUUACCAAGGCUUUGACGGGUAGCCGGCCUGAGCGGGUGACCGGCCACAUUGGGCCUGAGAUGCGGCCCAGACUCCUCCGGGAGGCAGCAGUGGGGAAUAUUGCACAAUGGGCGGAAGCCUGAUGCAGCAACGCCGCGUGCGGGAUGACGGCCUUCGGGUUGUAAUCCGCUUUCGCCUGUGACGAAGCGUGAGUGACGGUAAUGGGUAAAGAAGCACCGGCUAACUACGUG
rnacentral:rRNA from 1 species